rnacentral:misc_RNA from 1 species
AGCAGCCGCGGUAAUUCCAGCUCCAAUAGCGUAUAUUAAAGUUGUUGCAGUUAAAAAGCUCGUAGUUGAAUUUCGGGAUCAAUUAGUCGGUCGUGCCUCUGGUACGUACUGGUUUUAUUGGUUCCUCCCUUCUGACGAAACAUGAUGUCAUUAAUUUGGUGUCGUGGAGAAUCAGGACUGUUACCUUGAAAAAAUUAGAGUGUUUAUAGCAGGCUAACGCUUGAAUACAUUAGCAUGGAAUAAUGAAAUAGGACGUUCGACCCUAUUUUGUUGGUUUCUAGGAUCGACGUAAUGAUUAAUAGGGAUAGUUGGGGGCAUUAGUAUUCAAUUGUCAGAGGUGAAAUUCUUGGAUUUAUUGAAGACUAACUACUGCGAAAGCAUUUGCCAAGGAUGUUUUCAUUAAUCAAGAACGAAAGUUAGGGGAAUCGAAGACGAUCAGAUACCGUCGUAGUUCUGACCAUAAACGAUGUCGACUAGCGAUCCGCGGUCGUUGUUCAUAUGACCUCGCGGGC